rnacentral:rRNA from 1 species
CUUGCUAGGAGGCGUCGAGCGGCGGACGGGUGAGUAAUGCAUAGGAAUCUACCCAGUCGUGGGGGAUAACCUGAGGAAACUCAGGCUAAUACCGCAUACGUCCUACGGGAGAAAGCGGGGGCUCUUCGGACCUCGCGCGAUUGGAUGAGCCUAUGUCGGAUUAGCUAGUUGGUAAGGUAACGGCUUACCAAGGCGACGAUCCGUAGCUGGUCUGAGAGGAUGAUCAGCCACACCGGGACUGAGACACGGCCCGGACUCCUACGGGAGGCAGCAGUGGGGAAUAUUGGACAAUGGGCGAAAGCCUGAUCCAGCCAUGCCGCGUGUGUGAAGAAGGCUUUCGGGUUGUAAAGCACUUUCAGCGAGGAAGAAAGCGUGCCGGUCAAUACCCGGUACGGACGACAUCACUCGCAGAAGAAGCACCGGCUAACUCCGUGCCAGCAGCCGCGGUAAUACGGAGGGUGCAAGCGUUAAUCGGAAUUACUGGGCGUAAAGCGCGCGUAGGCGGCGUGUCACGCCGGGUGUGAAAGCCCCGGGCUCAACCUGGGAACGGCAUCCGGAACGGGCAGGCUAGAGUGCAGGAGAGGAAGGUAGAAUUCCCGGUGUAGCGGUGAAAUGCGUAGAGAUCGGGAGGAAUACCAGUGGCGAAGGCGGCCUUCUGGACUGACACUGACGCUGAGGUGCGAAAGCGUGGGUAGCAAACAGGAUUAGAUACCCUGGUAGUCCACGCCGUAAACGAUGUCGACUAGCCGUUGGGUCCCUUGAGGACUUAGUGGCGCAGUUAACGCGAUAAGUCGACCGCCUGGGGAGUACGGCCGCAAGGUUAAAACUCAAAUGAAUUGACGGGGGCCCGCACAAGCGGUGGAGCAUGUGGUUUAAUUCGAUGCAACGCGAAGAACCUUACCUACCCUUGACAUCCUGCGAACCCGGAAGAGAUUCCGGGGUGCCUUCGGGAGCGCAGAGACAGGUGCUGCAUGGCUGUCGUCAGCUCGUGUUGUGAAAUGUUGGGUUAAGUCCCGUAACGAGCGCAACCCUUGUCCCUAUUUGCCAGCGAUUCGGUCGGGAACUCUAGGGAGACUGCCGGUGACAAACCNGGAGGAAGGUGGNGGACGACGUCAAGUCAUCAUGGNCCCUUACGGGUAGGGCUACACACGUGCUACAAUGGCCGGUACAAAGGGUUGCGAAAGCGCGAGCUGAAGCUAAUCCCGAAAAGCCGGUCUCAGUCCGGAUCGGAGUCUGCAACUCGACUCCGCGAAGUCGGAAUCGCUAGUAAUCGUGCAUCAGAAUGGCACGGUGAAUACGUUCCCGGGCCUUGUACACACCGCCCGUCACACCAUGGAAGUGGACUGCACCAGAAGUGGUAGAC